GCGUUGAGCUUCUAACCUAAUGAAUCGAGGGCUCUGGGGAGGAGAGCAGYUUCAGGGGCAGGACGUGCUGAGUGGGACGUCAUCCAGCGCACGUGAGGCCCGGCCG